GUGGGGAAUAUUGCGCAAUGGGGGAAACCCUGACGCAGCAACGCCGCGUGAGUGAAGAAGGCCUUCGGGUUGUAAAGCUCUGUCAAGAGGGACGAAAAACAUAAGGUAAAUAAUCUUAUGCAUGACGGUACCUUUGAAGGAAGCCCCGGCUAACUACGUGCCAGCAGCCGCGGUAAUACGUAGGGGGCAAGCGUUGUCCGGAAUUAUUGGGCGUAAAGGGCGUGUAGGCGGCUUGUUAAGUCAGAUGUGAAAUUCCAGGGCUCAACCCUGGGACUGCACCUGAAACUGACAAACUUGAGGAUGGGAGAGGAAAGUGGAAUUCCUAGUGUAGCGGUGAAAUGCGUAGAUAUUAGGAGGAACACCAGUGGCGAAGGCGACUUUCUGGACCACACCUGACGCUGAGGCGCGAAAGCGUGGGGAGCAAACAGGAUUAGAUACCCUGGUAGUCC
rnacentral:rRNA from 1 species